GUGGGAGCUGGCUUGCCUGCGAUAGCGGUGGGCCAGUCAGCAAUGAUGUGACUGAUAGAUCGCUAUCGCAGGCAAGCCAGCUCCCAC
rnacentral:antisense_RNA from 1 species